AACGAACGCUGGCGGCGUGCCUAACACAUGCAAGUCGAGCGCGAAAGGAGCAAUCCGAGUAGAGCGGCGCACGGGUGCGUAACACGUGGGUAAUCUGCCUCAGGGUUGAGGAUAACCUUCCGAAAGGUUGGCUAAUACUCGGUAAGCUUACGGUGACUUCGGUCGCUGUGAGAAAACUAGACCUCUAUUUAUAAGAUUAGGCCCAGAGAUGAGCCCGCGGCCCAUCAGCUAGUUGGCGGGGUAACGGCCCUCCAAGGCAACGACGGGUAGCUGGUCUGAGAGGACGAUCAGCCACACUGGAACUGAGACACGGUCCAGACUCCUACGGGAGGCAGCAGUGGGGAAUUUUCCACAAUGGGCGAAAGCCUGAUGGAGCAACGCCGCGUGUGUGAUGAAGGUCUUCGGAUCGUAAAGCACUUUCGACCGGGACGAAAAACCUUUGGCUAACAUCCAGGGGCCCGACGGUACCGGGAGAAGAAGCACCGGCUAACUCUGUGCCAGCCGCCGCCGUAAUAC
rnacentral:rRNA from 1 species